CCUACGGGAGGCAGCAGUGAGGAAUAUUGGUCAAUGGACGAGAGUCUGAACCAGCCAAGUAGCGUGAAGGAUGACUGCCCUAUGGGUUGUAAACUUCUUUUAUAUGGGAAUAAAAUGUUCCACGUGUGGGAUUCUGUAUGUACCAUAUGAAUAAGGAUCGGCUAACUCCGUGCCAGCAGCCGCGGUAAUACGGAGGAUCCGAGCGUUAUCCGGAUUUAUUGGGUUUAAAGGGAGCGUAGGUGGAUUGAUAAGUCAGUUGUGAAAGUUUGCGGCUCAACCGUAAAAUUGCAGUUGAAACUGGCAGUCUUGAGUACAGUAGAGGUGGGCGGAAUUCGUGGUGUAGCGGUGAAAUGCUUAGAUAUCACGAAGAACUCCGAUUGCGAAGGCAGCUCACUGGACUGCAACUGACACUGAGGCUCGAAAGUGUGGGUAUCAAACAGGAUUAGAUACCCUAGUAGUC
rnacentral:rRNA from 1 species